rnacentral:rRNA from 1 species
CCUACGGGAGGCAGCAGUGGGGAAUAUUGCGCAAUGGGCGAAAGCCUGACGCAGCGACGCCGCGUGAGGGAUGAAGGUCUUCGGAUCGUAAACCUCUGUCAGCAGGGAAGAACGGUCACUGUGCUAAUCAGCAGUGAAUUGACGGUACCUGCAAAGGACGCACCGGCUAACUCCGUCCCAGCAGCCGCGGUAAUACGGAGGGUGCGAGCGUUAAUCGGAAUUACUGGGCGUAAAGCGGUCGUAGGCGGUAUGUCAAGUCAGGGGUGAAAGCCCCGGGCUCAACGUGGGAACUGCCUUUGAAACUGGCAAACUGGAGUGUGGGAGAGGAUAGUGGAAUUCCAGGUGUAGGAGUGAAAUGCGUAGAUAUCUGGAGGAACAUCAGUGGCGAAGGCGACUAUCUGGCACAUAACUGACGCUGAGGAGCGAAAGCGUGGGUAGCAAACAGGAUUAGAUACCCGGGUAGUC